CGUCACUUCCUCACGGAGCCGGCGAACCCGGAACAAGUAUUUGUGCACAUGAUCUACGCACCCCUGGACCCCGUCAACCCUCAUCCGCAGUUCGUCCAUCUUUACCAACCCUUGAAAGUUGCUGAUGGUGAGUUCAUCAAGAUGAUGGAGUAAGGUGGUGGCGCCAUAACGGCUGCAUGAGGUGGCAGGUGAGUUCAAAUCUUGCAUUAGUCGCAAAUCUAAUGCAUCUGAAAGAACACUAUACUUCUCUGUCUAGAUGAACCACCUCUAACACACAGGAAAGGCUUCACGACAGGACUUGUGUUUUAUACGAUCUCAUCCGCGAACACUUUCAUCACGGAGGUCGAGCUCCUUGGUCCGGUUGAAGAGGACGGCGGAGAUGCUUGAUGUUCCUGCACAGGGUCAGGCUCACAGUGGAGGACGGCUGGAGUAAACGGUGGAGCGCCACCUGGAGGAGCAAAGAAGCUUCUUGUUAGUCUAUUUUUAAUUUGACAAAACCUUUCAAAGUUACUUAACAUACAUCCACCUUGAUCAAAAUAAGUUCACCUUUAUAAAUUUUUUACAGUCACAUUGGUCUGUGGAUGUACUCGUGUAUGAAUUUCUUUUUUGCUAUCCUGACUACACCAUGUAACCACAUUUGAAUGUUAAAUAUGUAGUACACUUAACACCUGUACUGUAUAUUUAACAACUCAAAAACACAAAGCUUCUUUUCACAGUUAAGAGCUGAACGUGUUGGUUUUUUCAUCACUAUAAAUAAACAAAUCAGUGUGAAUGAUCUCAUCACAUUAA